rnacentral:rRNA from 1 species
GACGAACGCUGGCGGCGUGCUUAACACAUGCAAGUCGAACGGCAAGGCCCUGCUUUUGUGGGGUGCUCGAGUGGCGAACGGGUGAGUAACACGUGAGUAACCUGCCCUUGACUUUGGGAUAACUUCAGGAAACUGGGGCUAAUACCGGAUAGGAGCUCCUGCUGCAUGGUGGGGGUUGGAACGUUUCGGCCGUUGGGGCUGGACUCGCGGCUUAUGAGCUUGUUGGUGGGGUAGUGGCUUACCAAGUCUUUGAAGGGUAGGCCGCCUGAGAGGGUGAACGGGGACAAUGGGACUAAGAGACGGAGCAGACGGGAAUGGGAGGCAGCAGGGGGGAGUAUGGCACAAUGGGCGGAAGCCUGAGGCAGCAACGCCGGGUGUGGGAAGACGGUCUGUGGGGUGUAAACAGCAGUAGCCUGUGACGAAGCGUGAGUGACGGUACUGGGUAAAGAAGCACCGGCUAACUACGUG